rnacentral:rRNA from 1 species
GUGGGGAAUUUUGGACAAUGGGCGCAAGCCUGAUCCAGCCAUUCCGCGUGCAGGAUGAAGGCCUUCGGGUUGUAAACUGCUUUUGUACGGAACGAAAAACCUCUGGUUAAUACCCGGGGGUCAUGACGGUACCGUAAGAAUAAGCACCGGCUAACUACGUGCCAGCAGCCGCGGUAAUACGUAGGGUGCGAGCGUUAAUCGGAAUUACUGGGCGUAAAGCGUGCGCAGGCGGUGAUGUAAGACAGUUGUGAAAUCCCCGGGCUCAACCUGGGAACUGCAUCUGUGACUGCAUGGCUGGAGUGCGGCAGAGGGGGAUGGAAUUCCGCGUGUAGCAGUGAAAUGCGUAGAUAUGCGGAGGAACACCGAUGGCGAAGGCAAUCCCCUGGGCCUGCACUGACGCUCAUGCACGAAAGCGUGGGGAGCAAACAGGAUUAGAAACCCUGGUAGUCC